rnacentral:rRNA from 1 species
GACGAACGCUGGCGGCGUGCUUAACACAUGCAAGUCGAACGGAAAGGCCUUUUCGGAGGUACUCGAGUGGCGAACGGGUGAGUAACACGUGGGUGAUCUGCCCUGCACUCUGGGAUAAGCCUGGGAAACUGGGUCUAAUACCGGAUAGGACCGCACUUUAGUGUGUGUGGUGGAAAGUUUUUUCGGUGUAGGAUGAGCCCGCGGCCUAACAGCUUGUUGGUGGGGUAAUGGCCUACCAAGGCGGCGACGGGUAGCCGGACUGAGAGGUUGGUCGGCCACAUUGGGACUGAGAUACGGCCCAGACUCCUACGGGAGGCAGCGGUGGGGAAUAUUGCACAAUGGGCGCAAGCCUGAUGCAGCGACGCCGCGUGGGGGAUGACGGCCUUCGGGUUGUAAACUCCUUUCGCCAGGGACGAAGCGUUUUGUGACGGUACCUGGAGAAGAAGCACCGGCUAACUACGUG